UACGAAGGGGGCUAGCGUUGCUCGGAAUCACUGGGCGUAAAGCGCACGUAGGCGGAUUGCUAAGUCAGGGGUGAAAUCCUGGAGCUCAACUCCAGAACUGCCUUUGAUACUGAAGAUCUUGAGUUCGGGAGAGAUGAGUGGAACUGCGAGUGUAGAGGUGAAAUUCGUAGAUAUUCGCAAGAACACCAGUGGCGAAGGCGGCUCACUGGCCCGAUACUGACGCUGAGGCACGAAAGCGUGGGGAGCAAACAGG
rnacentral:rRNA from 1 species